GUUCAGACAACUGGGACAUUAGAUAUUAUCUUUUUUUCUUUCCUUAAACAUUUUUAAGUUCUCCAUGCUUCACUUUAUUACUUUAGAUACAGGCAGGUGUUACAGCCUAUAACCUCCCAGGUUUUGGUGGGAGUCAUUUAAAAUAUUCUUUUCCUUCCCUCGCACUCUUUCUCUCUUUCUAAUUUAAAUUAGAAAGGAAUUCUGCUUGUUUUUGCUAUUGCCAAUUCUGGGAGCCUAAGACAGCCUCCAAGAGCCCACGCUCUGGGAUAUGUGAUUGAUUCUAAUAUGGCUGGCAUCAGCUUUAGGACUAACUAUUGGUAAUUUUAAGAUUUUCCACUUUGCAUUUUAGGACACCAAGACAUAAGAAAGCUCCUUUCUGAGGGAGUGCAGUCAGAGAUUUGUUGUUCUCUCUAGUGCUAUUUCUAUGUAGCAU
rnacentral:lncRNA from 1 species